rnacentral:rRNA from 1 species
AACGAACGCUGGCGGCAGGCUUAACACAUGCAAGUCGAGCGCCCCGCAAGGGGAGCGGCAGACGGGUGAGUAACACGUGGGAACAUACCCAUCUCUGCGGAACAACUCCGGGAAACUGGAGCUAAUACCGCAUACGCCCUUCGGGGGAAAGAUUUAUCGGAGAUGGAUUGGCCCGCGUUGGAUUAGCUAGUUGGUGGGGUAAAGGCCUACCAAGGCGACGAUCCAUAGCUGGUCUGAGAGGAUGAUCAGCCACAUUGGGACUGAGACACGGCCCAACCUCCUACGGGAGGCAGCAGUGGGGAAUAUUGGACAAUGGGCGCAAGCCUGCUCCAGCCAUGCCGCGUGAGUGAUGAAGGCCUUAGGGUUGUAAAGCUCUUUCACCGAUGAAGAUAAUGACGGUAGUCGGAGAAGAAGCCCCGGCUAACUUCGUGCCAGCAGCCGCCGUAACAC